rnacentral:misc_RNA from 1 species
AACUUUCGGCAACGGAUCACUUGGCUCUCGCAUUGAUGAAGAACGCAGCGAAAUGCGCAAAGUAAUGUGAAUUGCAGAAUUCACUGAAUGAUCGAAUCUUUGAACGCACCUUGCGCUCCUCGGUAUUCCGAGGAGCAUGCCUGUUUGGGUGUCAUUAAUAUAUCAACCUUCUCUUGUUGAGUGGGUUUGGAUGUGGGGGUUUGCUGGCCUCUUAAGAGGUUUCAGCUCUCCUGAAAUGCAUUAGCAGAACAACCCUGUUCAUUGGUGUGAUAACUAUCUACGCUAUUGAAUGUGAAGGGCAGUUCGGCUUCCUAACAGUCCUUGGACAGCUCAUCAUUAAUGUGACCUCAAAUCAGGUAGGACUACCCGCUGAACUUAAGCAUAUCAAUAAGCGGAGGCU